rnacentral:lncRNA from 1 species
GUGGAUAAGAAUAUUUCGGUUAGUAAUUUUGAACAGUAGAAAAUUCAUUACAAUAUAUAUGGGGUUGAAUAAUAUAACUUCUAAUAGGAGUAUUAACAUUAACAUGGUUACAUGAAGUUUGAAUAAAUUAAAAUAUUUUAAAACACUUUGGAAUAAAAUUUUAAAAUUAAUUCUUAAAGUUAAGUAUUGAAUUUUUUUUAAUCCGGUAUUGUUUAAGAGCAACUGGAAUAUUAUCAUGAAAUUGAAUAAAUUGAAAAUUUUAUAACAAUUUGAACUAAUAAUUUAAAUUUAAUAUUUAAAGCUAACUAAUAAAAAGUCAAAUUUAAUUUGGGAAAUAGCCUAAUAACAGUUCCGGUCCAAAAUUCGUACGGAAUAUAUCUCAAUAAAAUAAAGAAUUAUAUAUUAUUAGAGCAUACCUAUAGUAGAUAUUUCACAAAGUGUCUAAGUAUUAUAAUAUAAGAACAAAAAAAUGGUGAGAAAAUGAGAGAUUGUUUUCCAUUGAGAACUUCUCAUAACCUCUUUUUGCCACUUGCUAGUUUUUAAUAGGUUUAUUUUUUCUUUUACU